rnacentral:rRNA from 1 species
GACGAACGCUGGCGGCGUGCUUAACACAUGCAAGUCGAACGGACAGGCCACUUUCGUGCUGUACUCGCGUGGCGAACGGGUGAGUAACUCGUGAGUAACUUACCCUUCACUUUGGCAUAAAUAAAGGAAACUGGGGGUAAUACCGACUAGGUGAUCCUGUUGCACGGUGGGGGUUGUAAAGUUUCGGCGGUUGGGGGUGGCCUCGCGGGUUAUCCGCUUGUCGGUGGGGUAUUGGCUUACCAAGGCCUUGCCGGGUAGCCGGCCUGAGAGGGUGAUCGGCCACCUUGGCACUGAGGGACGGCCGAGACUGCUACUGGUGGGAGCAGUGGGGAAGAUUGAACGAGGGGUGGAGGGCUGAUGCAGCAAGGCCGUGGGCGGGAUGACGGUCUUCGGGUGGUAAACCGCUUUCGCACAUGACGAAGCUUUGUGUGACGGUAGUGGGUAAAGAAGCACCGGCUAACUACGUG